UCCCCUUUCUCUACCUUUCUCUCCUCUCUACAGCUGUGGUUUGGAUAGGUGCGACCAUGGGUUAGGCAAGGGAGAGCACUGGAGAACACGGCAAUCUACUGAACCUCGUGAUGUACGGCAGCUAGCUGUCGUGGCGAUGGGGCUGGAGGUUGGUGGCGCGGAGGAGGCGGUGACGCAUCUGACGGAGGGCGCACUGGUUCGCUGAGUUCCCGGACGAACUCGUGCGUGCUGAUCUUCCAAGCCGGUUGUACCAAAUCGAGUGGGCUGCAAGUGCGUUGUCUUGGAGGCCAUUUCUGACCGAGGCAUGGUCCGCGCGGUCAAGCUACUGCUGUUGCACCGGCCACCAGGGAGACCGCAUCUCGCGUCGCUAAUCUGGAAAGGCAGAUGCCGGUCACCGGGGAGGAGGGUGCGGGGACAAAGAAUUUUGGCGUUGCAUUGAAAGGCCUGUUGUUCCUUUUUCGUCCCAGGCUAAGGAAGAGCAACAGGUCUUGUCGCCGGCGAACUUCAAUCUUGUUGCCGGCGACCACACAAUUGAUCCACGAUGAACCUCCGCUCCUCUUCUCGAUUUCGUUCAUCUCAUUAAUCCAGGAUGUAGAUUGAGGCGCUACUGCAGUUGCAGCGCGGACUACUUGGCGCGGUGGUUCUCAUGUGAGCUGAGCCAGAGUAGGAGACAGGGAUUAAUCCCUUCAUAUUCUCUAAUCAUUUUAUCCAUUCUCCUCUUGGCAGUAUAUACGCGUGUUAUAAGUUGAUUUAUUGAGUUCCUCUGUAAAAUGUAUUCAAAGGUAACGUGCUGGUUUUAAACUUUGAUUUCUGAAGCGUCUAUUUUUACAAUGAAUCACUAAGUAUGUAACUGAAAUUAUAAUUUAGUAAUUAGUACAUAUCCUCGUACAUAAUUGUUGUUGUAUGGAUUAUUUAGAGAAUGUGGAUCAUAGAGUUACCAUUUCAAACUUCAUUGAUCUCUCUUCUGAUUUUGUAGGGGUUAGAGCAUACGUUAUUUUCUUCAGUGGACAUUCAACCCAACUUAAAAUAUUGUUCCUUCAGCACUUCUGUAGCAUGCAGGAUCAAUCAGUGAAGAAAAUUACGAAUGUAGUUAUUAAUCUUAGAGGAUUAGAUGUGCAUUUACCUUCUCAACUUCUCGGUCAAUUACAACAUCCCAAGCCCAUCAUCAGGCACAAUUUAUAGCAUAAGUUUUGUGUGACGAAGCUGAGAUUAUUAAUUUUUGAGAUUGAAUCUAAACAUAAGUCUUGUGCCACAUAUUUGGUCUAUAAUCUUUGGGUUUCUCAAGAUCUCUCAUCCAAUGAGCGGUGAGGGGUCUCACCGUAUGGAGUACUGAUUCAUGAAUUUCCUGGACAAAAUCGUUCUACUGGGUUUAACCUUGUUGGUGUCGGGGCAUCAAUGCCAGGGCGGGGACUGGCAGAAAGUAAUGGCUGGCUAAUGGAGAAUGGUUGGAUCUGAGGCACAUGACAAAACGGGCACUGCGUCUAUGGUCCAUGUGAGGUAUGUGGUAACGGAGGCAGAUUCAUAUGUGGAGAUCAUGGGAUAAAUAAAUAACAGCAAAAUGUGAGCAGCGUGUGCAGGCGGCCUCUGAGUUGUUGCCCUCAUUGCUAGUGAUGUUGGACUCCUACCAAAUGUAAGUGCUGAUGAUAAGCAUCAUUCCUAAUGCAUAUUAUGCCUUGUAAUUCCUCCAAUAUAGCAUUGGAAAGUAUUCUAUUAUCUGUUGUUACCAUGUCGUAGCAAAAAGGCAUUAAUUUGUUAAUUUUAAUUUGGUUCAUAUGUGUCAGUUGACAUACAAUGGUUUUGUAUAUGUGUUGUAGGUGGUGCAUAUGAUACUGAAGAUCUAUACAUGAUUACUGGAAAGGUUGUGUGAGAUAUACAGGUUUUAGUACCCAGAACAAUAAACUGACAAAAGUGCAUGUCUUUCAAAAAAUUACAAUGUGAACUGCUUUUGAUAGUGCUAACAUUCACACCCUUGUAAUCAACUCCCUCCAUCCCAUACUAUAAGAUCGUUUCGCAAGCUGUUUUAGCCUAUAAAACGAUCUUAUAUUAUGGGAUGGAGGGAGUAAUAAAUAUCCUUCUUGUCAUGGACAUUCUCAAGCAGUGUUACUAUACCUUCAUAAAUAUCCUUCUUAUCAUGGACAUUGUCAAGUAGUGCUGAUGUAUCUUUGUAAAUACAUAUAGUCUGCCUUAUUAUUAAAUGAUAAGCUACUAAUGUACUAAUUUUCUAUUUAACUUCCUCAUCCUCCUUGUUUUUGUUUCGCCUGCUCGUAUAUUGGAACUUACCUGGAACCUCUUCAUUGUGGUAAAGUAAAUAUAAAUUUUAAAAACACAUUUCUAGAAAUCUAGAAGUGUACAUAAUGAUAAAAUUAAUCACCUUUAUAUCUGGAAUGUUUUGCUUGUUUAUUUAAUUAUUUAACACGGUGUCCACCUCAUCAUCCGUCAAUUCCUGUGCAAUAUAUGUAAGAUGAAUUAUAUAGGGAAUUCUAUAAUUAAAUGCACCUUUACUUCCUCAGCUUUACCCUGCAAGUAGAGUAUCUCUAGCCUACCAUCAUGCAUAAUUGUUCUUUUAAUUGCCAAAAGGUUAUAUUACUAUCAUUUAGCUUUAAUCCAAAUAUAAGUCUCCUAGCAAAAAGUUGUAUCAUCCAGCGCUUCAUCAGAUUUCCCAUUGACUGAGUUCAAUAAGCUAGAUGUACUAAGCAAUAUUGCAGCCUCCUCGUAAUAUAAAUUGCAGUUUGUAGUAGCUAUGUUGUCACUGAUUUGGAGUCAAGUAUGGUACCUACUGUACCAUUCAUGUUAAUCAAGAGUAAGUAUGAUAUAAUAGUUGUCCAUAUGAGUGAUAUGCUUACCUUGGUGUUACCCUUUUCUGAUAUAUACCACAACUCUUGCAAUAGGAUGUGUCAGUUUUCUUGGUAGCAAGUUUGUGACAAUCUUCACAUCACAUGUACCACCAUUGAAUAUCAUCUUGUAACUGAUCUAUUGUAGCUAUUGUUGUGAACACAAAAUUCUAAAUAUCUUAAAAACUCAAGAAAUUGAAAGACACAAAUAAGUCAACUAAAUCUCAUUAUAACUAACAUUACACGUCUCAGAGACUCAUUAUCCAGGAAGAGUGGUGAUAGCAUACAUUGGAACUCGUACCUGAUUUCUCCGGAUUCAUGUAUCACUCUAGUAAGUUCUUGUAAUGUUCUCCUCCUAUAAAACAUUUGUUCUUCUAGUGUUCCUUGAGUACUAUAUCUAUGCUGAUCAUUUUUAGUAAAGUUUUUUCUGCCGAAUGCCUAUGCAUAUGUGGAUUAAAUAAGAAUGAUUGAUCUUUGCUUCAGCUUGACUUUGAUGCAAGUACACUUAAAUUUUGAUCACAAUCAUUAUAAAUAUAAUCAGCGGUGCAGAUUUUUUUGUUAGCAUUGAUGGAUGUCAUGGAUCGGUUGCCUUCCUGGACCUCACAAUGUUGUUGCCUUCAAAACUAUCUUAAAAAGUAUUUUUUUAUUGACAGUGUAUGUAUGAAAGCUUAUUACAAAUUUAGACAUUUUUGUGGGAGAUUAGAAAUCAAGACUUGUUCAGAUGGAAACAUCUAAACACACAUGAGUCAGCAAAGAUAUUACCUAAACUAAUUUGAUGGCUUGUUAUCUGCCUUCUUUUGAUGCUGGGUGCCAAGACGGCAAGACGUCACAGGAGUGUACUGGAUGCAUCGUGUCUUUGAUCCUCCGGCAUGACGGACUGGAUAGCCUGCAGUCAUGGUUUCGAUCUACCGGGCGUUCAAGCAUCACUUGUGUGUUCAAACCCAUCAUGUUUCAACGCACGCAUUGGGUGUUUUCUCACCUUCAUGUGUUACGACAUCCUUGUGUAAUUGUGUUUGUAGAUGCCUAUGCUUGAAAGAAAUCAAUCAGGCCAUAUGAAAAUCAAGUAGAAAAUAAUUGACCAGAUUGUACUUUGCCUUUGAUAGACGUGCACGUGACGGACUUGUAUACAUCUAUUUAGGCAGGUUGACUGGUUCUAGUACAUGGAUCCGUAUAUGACGAUGAGUCCUGGCUUGCAUUGUAGUAGUACUUCUUUUUGACCUGCGUAUAUGUUGUAGUAGUAGUAGGAUAGGGUUCCAUAUCUGAUUCCGAUUGUAACUAAAAAAUGAUUGUUUAUUCCCCUUCAAAGAAAAAGGAUUGUUUAUUCUUGUA